rnacentral:rRNA from 1 species
CCUACGAGUGGCAGCAGUGGGGAAUAUUGGGCAAUGGAGGAAACUCUGACCCAGCAACGCCGCGUGAAUGAUGAAGGUCUUCGGAUUGUAAAGUUCUUUUCUAAGGGAAGCAGAAAGUGACGGUACCUUAGGAAUAAGCCUCGGCUAACUACGUGCCAGCAGCCGCGGUAAUACGUAAGAGGCGAGCGUUAGCCGGAAUGACUGGGCGUAAGGGGUGCGUAGGUGGUUUGGCAAGUUAGUCGUGAAAUGUCAGGGCUCAACCCUGGACCUGCUGCGCAAACUGGCGGCCUUGAGUGCAGGGGAGGCAAGCGGAAUUCGUAGUGUAGCGGUGAAAUGCGUAGAUAUUAGGAAGAACCCC